UCUAACGUGGACCCGUUACCCGGGUUGCGGACAGUGUCUGGUGGGUAGUUUGACUGGGGCGGUCUCCUCCUAAAGAGUAACGGAGGAGCACGAAGGUUGGCUAAUCCUGGUCGGACAUCAGGAGGUUAGUGCAAUGGCAUAAGCCAGCUUGACUGCGAGCGUGACGGCGCGAGCAGGUGCGAAAGCAGGUCAUAGUGAUCCGGUGGUUCUGAAUGGAAGGGCCAUCGCUCAACGGAUAAAAGGUACUCCGGGGAUAACAGGCUGAUACCGCCCAAGAGUUCAUAUCGACGGCGGUGUUUGGCACCUCGAUGUCGGCUCAUCACAUCCUGGGGCUGAAGUAGGUCCCAAGGGUAUGGCUGUUCGCCAUUUAAAGUGGUACGCGAGCUGGGUUUAGAACGUCGUGAGACAGUUCGGUCCCUAUCUGCCGUGGGCGCUGGAGAACUGAGGGGGGCUGCUCCUAGUACGAGAGGACCGGAGUGGACGCAUCACUGGUGUUCGGGUUGUCAUGCCAAUGGCACUGCCCGGUAGCUAAAUGCGGAAGAGAUAAGUGCUGAAAGCAUCUAAGCACGAAACUUGCCCCGA
rnacentral:rRNA from 1 species